AUGGGGGUGCGCGCGCAUCUCCUCGUCGUCCUUUGCAUCCUCGUCGCCGGCACAAGCACGGCUCAGCUUUUGCCGCCGCGCGGCCCGGCACCGCAGAUGAAGCCACCGCCGUUCGGGCGCGCCAUGACGAUGAUCAUCACGGUGGUCGCCGUGGCCAUCGGCGUUCUCUUCCUCCUGCUCUUCUUUUGCGCGUACGUCACCCAGUGCCGCCUCGUCGAGGACCACGGCGCGCCGCAGGAGGGUAGCGUCGCGCCGGGCGGGGUGUCCAGGCGGGGAAAGCGCGGGCUGGACCCGGCGGUGGUGGCGACGUUCCCGAUCGUGCCGUACAGGGAGAUCAAGGAGCACAAGAUCGGCAGUGGCGCGCUGGAGUGCGCCGUGUGCCUGACGGAGUUCGAGGACGCCGACGACCUCCGGCUGCUGCCGCACUGCUCGCACGCGUUCCACCCGGAUUGCAUCGACCCGUGGCUCCAGACGCGGACCACGUGCCCGCUGUGCCGCGCCAACCUCGAGAAGCCACCGCCACCGGCUGCCGCCCCAGCGCCCUCCUCGCCGCCGCAUGCCGUCGUGGCGAUGCCGGUGCAGCAGGGUGAGCAGAAGGAGGACAGUGACAAGGACGACCGGAAGGAGGAGGCCGCAGAGCUGGAGAAGCUGCGCAGGGAGCGCCGGGCGGCGAGGCUGCUGAGGUCGCACUCGACGGGGCACUCGGCGGAGCAGUGCGACUGCGAGGACCACGAGAGGUUCACGCUGCGGCUGCCGCAGCACGUGAGGGAGGAGGUGCUCAGCAGGUGCUGCGCGAGGCCGUCUGUGGAGAGCCUGAGCGGAGGAGGGUGCGGUGUGGGAGAAAGAGGAGGCAGCUUCCGCGACGCCGGAGGAGCCAGCAGCGGCGAGCGGCGGUGGCAGACGCUCCUGGCCAGGACGAUGCCAUGGGCCCGAGCCGGGUCGACGCGGAAGGUGCGGGAUGACGUCGCGGCCUCCACGACGGCCGCGCGGCCAUGA
rnacentral:rRNA from 1 species